AACGAACGCUGGCGGCAGGCUUAACACAUGCAAGUCGAACGCAUCCUUCGGGGUGAGUGGCAGACGGGUGAGUAACGCGUGGGAACGUGCCCUUCAGUUCGGGAUAACCCAGGGAAACUUGGGCUAAUACCGGAUACGUGCGAGAGCGGAAAGAUUUAUCGCUGAAGGAUCGGCCCGCGUCUGAUUAGCUAGUUGGUGGGGUAGUGGCCCACCAAGGCGACGAUCAGUAGCUGGUCUGAGAGGAUGAUCAGCCACAUUGGGACUGAGACACGGCCCAAACUCCUACGGGAGGCAGCAGUGGGGAAUAUUGGACAAUGGGCGCAAGCCUGAUCCAGCCAUGCCGCGUGAGUGAUGAAGGCCUUAGGGUUGUAAAGCUCUUUCGUCCGGGACGAUAAUGACGGUACCGGAAGAAGAAGCCCCGGCUAACUUCGUGCCAGCCGCCGCGGUAA
rnacentral:rRNA from 1 species